rnacentral:rRNA from 1 species
AACGAACGCUGGCGGCAUGCCUAACACAUGCAAGUCGAACGAGACCUUCGGGUCUAGUGGCGCACGGGUGCGUAACGCGUGGGAACCUGCCCUUAGGUUCGGAAUAACUCCCCGAAAGGGGUGCUAAUACCGGAUAAUGUCUUCGGACCAAAGAUUUAUCGCCUUUGGAUGGGCCCGCGUUGGAUUAGCUAGUUGGUAGGGUAAAAGCCUACCAAGGCGACGAUCCAUAACUGGUCUGAGAGGAUGAUCAGCCACACUGGGACUGAGACACGGCCCAGACUCCUACGGGAAGCAGCAGUGGGGAACAGUGGACCAUGGGCGAAAGCCUGAUCCAGCAAUGCCGCGUGAGUGAUGAAGGCCUUAGGGUUGUAAAGCUCUUUUACCCGGGAUGAUAAUGACAGUACCGGGAGAAUAAGCCCCGGCUAACUCCGUG